rnacentral:rRNA from 1 species
UACGGGGGGAGCAAGCGUUGUUCGGAUUUACUGGGCGUAUAGGGCGCGUAGGCGGCCACCGCAAGUCGAUUGUGAAAUCUCCGGGCUUAACCCGGAAAGGUCAACCGAUACUGCGGGGCUAGAGUGCAGAAGGGGCAACUGGAAUUCUCGGUGUAGCGGUGAAAUGCGUAGAUAUCGAGAGGAACACCUGCGGCGAAGGCGGGUUGCUGGGCUGACACUGACGCUGAUGUGCGAAAGCUAGGGGAGCGAACGGG